rnacentral:lncRNA from 1 species
CGGAACAAGGCCCCAAACAUGGCAACUAGCCCAAAUUAUACGAGUACAAGCUCAAUCUCAGUCAAGAAGUUCAGUAAUCAUCAGCCGGGAUGGACCAAGUCCAAAUCCCCAGUAGAUACAUCACCACGCUCAUCACAAGAAGCAUGUUUCAUCUCAACAUAGCACCGUAUGGUGCAAAUACGGGGUUUCAAAACCCUCAAUAUAUCAUUC